CGAAGGCUUCUGGUCCUCCCGGGAAAUUUUGAGGCAGCUUAACUUCAUUUGAGUUGUUCAAAUUUCUCUUGAAGUUAUCGCUCUUGGAAAAAAGUGGGUACUGCAAAAUAGCGAUGGAAAAUGCAUUGUAAGGUUAAAGGUCCUAUCAGCAACUUGAACGCGAACAGAAACAGGGCACUAACAUUUGGAGAAGAGAAAGGACUGGAGAGAAUUGGACUGUCUUUGAGGCUAGCUGUGUCCAUUACAAAGGCUCAUGAAAAGACUUCAGAUACAGAGAAUGUGUGGAACAAUUAAUGGCAAUCACAGCUGAACUU